rnacentral:lncRNA from 7 species
AAUUGCAUUUUCUUCUGGUUAAAUGGGGGGUUUUUGAAGAGAAACUGCAUGAUUUUCGUUUACAUGUGAGAUUUUUGUAGAGGAAAUGCGUGAUUUUUGGAUACGUGGGGGAUUCUUGUAGCAAAAAUGUUUGAUGUUGGGGUCAACGGGGGAUUUUGAAGAGCAAAAGUGUGAUUUCCGAGUUAAAUGGGGGAUUUUCCUCAAGAGGAAAUGCGUGAUUUUGGGGAUAAUGGGGUAUUUUUGAAGAGAUAAAGCAUGAUUUUGGGGUAAAUGCGUAUUUUCCAAGCGAAAAGGCGAGAUUUUUGAGUUAAAUGGGGGAUUUUCCAAGAGAAAAUGCGUGAUUUUGGGGGUUAAACGGGGGAUUGUUGAAGAGACAAUGCAUGAUUUGGGGCUUGAGGGGGGGAUUUUUGAAGAGAAAACGCGUAAUUUUUGGUUUAAACAGCAAUUUUUGAAGAGAACGUGCGUGAUUUUCAGUUUAAAUCAGGGAUUCUCAAAGAGAAAAUGUGUGAUUUUUGUUUAAAUGGGGUAUUUUGGAAGGGAAAAUGCGUGAUUUUCAGGUUAAAUGGGGGAUUUUCAAAGAGGAAAUGCUUCGUUUCAGGUUAAAUGGGGGGUUUUCGAAGGCAAAAUGCGUGAUUUUCACUUCAAUGGGGGAUUUUCCAAGAGAAAAUGCAUGAUUUUCUUUUUAGAUGGGGGAUUUUCAUAGAGAAAAGGCAUGAUUUUUGUGUUAAGUGGGGGAUAUUUGCAAAAAAAAAGGCAUGAUUUUCGGGUUAAAUAGGGGAUUUUUGAAGAGAAAAUGUGUGAUUUUCAGUUAAAUCGCGGAAUCUCUAAGAGAAAAUGCCUGAUGUUUGCAUUAGAUGUGUGAUUUUCGUAGAGAUAAUGCGUGAUUUUCAGGUUACGUGGGAGAUUUUUGAAGAGAAAAUGCGUGAUUUUCGGGAUAAACCAGGGAUUCUUGAAGAGAAACUGCAUCAUUUUCGUUUACAUGUGAGAUUUUUGUAGAGGAAAUGCGUGAUUUUUGGAUACGUGGGGGAUUCUUGUAGCAAAAAUGUUUGAUGUUGGGGUCAAACGGGGGAUUUUUGAAGAGCAAAAGUGUGAUUUCCGAGUUAAAUGGGGGAUUUUCCUAGAGGAAAUGCGCUGAUUUUGGGGAUAAUGGGGUAUUUUUGAAAAGAGAUAAAGCCAUGAUUUUGGGGUAAAUGCGUAUUUUCCAAGCGAAA